rnacentral:rRNA from 1 species
UACAGAGGUCUCAAGCGUUGUUCGGAUUCAUUGGGCGUAAAGGGCGCGCAGGCGGUCGUUCAAGUCGAGUGUGAAAGCCCCCGGCUCAACUGGGGAGGGUCACUUGAUACUGAUCGACUCGAAGGCAGGAGAGGGAAGCGGAAUUCCCGGUGUAGUGGUGAAAUGCGUAGAUAUCGGGAGGAACACCAGUGGCGAAGGCGGCUUCCUGGCCUGUUCUUGACGCUGAGGCGCGAAAGCUAGGGGAGCAAACGGG